UACGAAGGGGGCUAGCGUUGUUCGGAAUUACUGGGCGUAAAGGGCGCGUAGGCGGCCUUCUAAGUCGAACGUGAAAUCCCCGGGCUCAACCCGGGAACUGCGUCCGAUACUGGAAGGCUUGAAUCCGGGAGAGGGAUGCGGAAUUCCAGGUGUAGCGGUGAAAUGCGUAGAGAUCUGGAGGAACACCCGUGGCGAAGGCGGCGCCCUGGUCCGUUACUGACGCUGAGACGCGAAAGCGCGGGGAGCGAACGGG
rnacentral:rRNA from 1 species